UACGGGGGGGGCAAGCGUUGUUCGGAAUUACUGGGCGUAAAGGGCGCGUAGGCGGCCUGCUAAGUCACACGUGAAAUCCCUCGGCUCAACCGGGGAACUGCGUGUGAUACUGGCGGGCUUGAAUUCGGGAGAGGGAUGUGGAAUUCCAGGUGUAGCGGUGAAAUGCGUAGAUAUCUGGAGGAACACCGGUGGCGAAGGCGGCAUCCUGGACCGAGAUUGACGCUGAGGCGCGAAAGCUAGAGGAGCAAACGGG
rnacentral:rRNA from 1 species